CACGUAGGGGCCAAGCGUUGUCCGGAUUUAUUGGGCGUAAAGAGCUCGUAGGCGGUUUGUUGCGUCUAUCGUGAAAACCUGCAGCUUAACUGUGGGCUUGCGGUGGAUACGGGCAGACUUGAGUUCGGUAGGGGAGACUGGAAUUCCUGGUGUAGCGGUGAAAUGCGCAGAUAUCAGGAGGAACACCGGUGGCGAAGGCGGGUCUCUGGGCCGAUACUGACGCUGAGGAGCGAAAGCGUGGGGAGCAAACAGG
rnacentral:rRNA from 1 species